rnacentral:rRNA from 1 species
UACGUAGGGUGCAAGCGUUGUCCGGAAUUAUUGGGCGUAAAGAGCUCGUAGGCGGUCUGUCGCGUCUGCUGUGAAAACUCGGGGCUUAACCCCGGGCCUGCAGUGGGUACGGGCAGACUAGAGUGCGGUAGGGGAGACUGGAAUUCCUGGUGUAGCGGUGAAAUGCGCAGAUAUCAGGAGGAACACCGAUGGCGAAGGCAGGUCUCUGGGCAUUAACUGACGCUGAGGAGCGAAAGCGUGGGUAGCAAACAGG